UGGUUAAAUGACGUUAUAUUAAUUUGCUUCUCCUUCAUAUUUGAUGUCAUAACCAAGUAACUUAACGUUAAAGGUAGCAAAUAGUCGUUUGAACUUUUUAAUUUUCAUUCAGGUGACAUUUAUGGAGCAGCUUGAUUCAGUGACACGGUCAACUUUACAUGCUGCAAACAUCAGCGCAGCAGUAUUACCAACUUUGUCACGUGAUGACAUUCGUGAUCUUUUCCCGGGACCAGAAAACUUUUUACGACGGAAAACCAUAUGGGAGACGUUUCAUACAGACAAAGAGCAGGGACAGGAGCCAGGAUGCCUCAAUCAAAACAAGGAGCAGGAUGACACUGGUCUGACUCCAACUCAAACUCCGUCUGAAAUCCCAGUGACUACAAGGCACAGUAUCUUUGAGCCAAGUGGUCAUCCUCCAAGAACCUUAAAGUUGCCCAACCCCUAAUAUGUUGUUUACACUGCCAGUGAGCUAGAACAUGUUACAAAAGAGUAUUUUGAUCUGCAGCGAGUUGGGCAAGAAAGAGGUUGCAGCCUUUCAAAAGAACUUCGUUGUCGACUUGUGAGGAACACAGUGACCAACAUGGUGUCUAUCAUGAGAGCAUCAAGCACUGACUUCAUGUACCCAUCAAAAAAUGAUGUGCUUGCAAUGGCAAAGCGACUGGUUGAAUAUUAUCCCAUGCUUCGAGAUGACUCUGUGAACUGCAAACAUAUUUCGGUAAGUGUUUAAGGGCUUGGGAUUCAAAAAUUACA